rnacentral:tRNA from 1 species
GGGCUCUUGGCACAGGGGUAGCGCGCACGCUUCGCACUAGUGUAUGCGUGAGGUCGUGGGUUCAAUUCCCACAGUGUCCA